rnacentral:rRNA from 1 species
UACGAAGGGGGCUAGCGUUGUUCGGAAUUACUGGGCGUAAAGCGUGCGCAGGCGGCUUCUCAAGUCAGGGGUGAAAGCCCAGAGCUCAACUCUGGAAUUGCCUUUGAGACUGAGUGGCUUGAGUACGGGAGAGGUGAGUGGAAUUCCCAGUGUAGAGGUGAAAUUCGUAGAUAUUGGGAAGAACACCGGUGGCGAAGGCGGGUCUCUGGGUAGUAACUGACGCUGAGGAACGAAAGCGUGGGUAGCGAACAGG